rnacentral:rRNA from 1 species
GACGAACGCUGGCGGCGUGCCUAAUACAUGCAAGUUGAGCGAUGAAGAUUGGUGCUUGCACCAAUUUGAAGAGCAGCGAACGGGUGAGUAACGCGUGGGGAAUCUGCCUUUGAGCGGGGGACAACAUUUGGAAACGAAUGCUAAUACCGCAUAACAACUUUAAACAUAAGUUUUAAGUUUGAAAGAUGCAAUUGCAUCACUCAAAGAUGAUCCCGCGUUGUAUUAGCUAGUUGGUGAGGUAAAGGCUCACCAAGGCGAUGAUACAUAGCCGACCUGAGAGGGUGAUCGGCCACAUUGGGACUGAGACACGGCCCAAACUCCUACGGGAGGCAGCAGUAGGGAAUCUUCGGCAAUAGACGAAAGUCUGACCGAGCAACGCCGCGGGAGUGAAGAAGGUUUUCGGAUCGUAAAACUCUGUUGGUAGAGAAGAACGUUGGUGAGAGUGGAAAGCUCAUCAAGUGACGGUAACUACCCAGAAAGGGACGGCUAACUACGUG